GGCCAGCAUGGUAUAGUGGUUUGAGUGUUGGACUACAGUUCUGGAGACCAGGGUUCAAUUCCCCAUGGCCA
rnacentral:tRNA from 1 species